AUGGACUGGACAUGGAGGAUUCUCUUCUUGGUGGCAGCAGCAACAGGGAAGAGGCUCCACAGUGCCCACUCCAAGGUGCAGUUGGUGCAGUCUGGGGCUGAGGUGAAGGAGCCUGGGUCCUCAGUGAAAGUCUCCUGCAAAGCUUCUGGAUACCUUUACCAGCUACUAUAUGAACUGGGUGCCACAGGCCCCUGGACAAGGGCUUGAGUGGAUGGGACGGAUCAACCCUGGUAAAGGUAACACAGGCUACACACAGAAGUUUCAGGGCAGAGUCACCAUGACCAGGGACACGUCCACAAGCACAUCCUACAUGGAGCUGAGCAGUCUGAGACCUGAGGACACGGCCGUGUAUUACUGUGGGAGACACAGUGUGAAAACCACAUCCUGA